AGAAAUAUUGAUGAAAAUGGGCACUGUUUUUGUACGUGGUGUCCCAAAAUUGUUCAUGUGGCUGCACUGAGACACAGGUUAUGCUUCUGUCGCGGUCAUUUUAUUACAGUGGUGACAGUGAGACUUGUAACAUUU